rnacentral:lncRNA from 1 species
GGGGUGUGUGGGCUGCUGGUUGGAUGCUCUAGGGACCUUAGGGGAGAUCCCUUUAAAUAGGCAUGAGGAUUGAAUCCUAUUCAAUCUCAUAAUAUAAGUCCUACUUGCAUAAGAUUUCUGAAUAACUUAAGUUAUUUCACACCCUCUUGUGCACCCAAGAGAUGUCCCAUAUGAAAUCAAAAGGUCCUUUAAUCAUGGGACAUGCCCAACUUGAUCAAAUCAAAG